CAAACCACCCCUUGGAGUCAUGUAUUUUUUGAUAGUUAAGAUUGAAUGAAUGAAUGAAUCCUGAGAGGUUGCCUUUUUCUACACAUUAGAAACUCAGAGUUAGAAAGAAGCAUAAGGAUUGGGUGGUCAGUUCUCAAUCCUUCUAGAGCGUCUAGUCUAGCUUGAACACCUUGAAUGAUGAAGGACUCAUCUUCCACAACAAUCUGUUCCUUUGUCUUUUAGCACAGAUGAUUAGAACUUUCUUGUUUUGUUAAGCCAAUUUCUGUUUUCCUUCAAUAGAUCCAAGUUGUCCUCAGUAUGACCAAUACAAGAAAUACUCAGCAGAACAUCUGACAGCUAAUGGAUAUUCAGCAGAGAUGAAGUGCAUUUACUGACUUGCAGGAACCCCAGAACAAACAGAGUCACCUGAGAACGGCUUUAGACCAGUGGUUCUCAAACUUGAAUUUAUAUCAGAAUCAUCUGGAAGGCUUGUUGAACCACAGAUUGUUGAAACCCAUCCCUGGAGCUGAUAGUUUGGUAAGUCUGGGGUAGCAUCUCAAGAUUUGGACUUCUAAUAUUUUCUCACAUGUGGCCUGUGG